GGACCUAAGCCUGGAAGGAGGCAAAUCCUGCAGGCUGCUAGGGUGAGGGAAACUGAAAAUGACCUCUUGCUGUCAAAUUUCACUCAUUCGUUUUAACCCAAGGUUUCCCCAAGGCUGCAGAACAAAUUCCUUCUGUGCAGGAAGUGCUCGUGCUAAUCCAGAGGUUCAAAGCCUGUAUGAGGAAAUAUAAUGCUUCCUCCAGGGACUUUUCAGAGGAGAGUGGUUGACCACAAGAAAAUAAAAUCUCCUGCAGCUGAUCGUAAGCCUGUGUGAGAGGGCUGCUGAGGAGUCACCUAGGAAUGACUGCAAUUCCUGUUUAUGAGUCAGCAGGGAAGGAGCAGCCCAAGUCAGAUUUUGGGAGAUGCCUGCGCUGUCUGCCUCUUUUCAGACCAUGGGAACACUGCAAGGAAAAUAAUGAGGAGAUAUGAGGUUAAGGAAUGUGGGAAUUCAAGGUUCUAUAGACCAUGCUUAUGGAUGGAUUGAUGUAGCUGCCUGCUAGGCAUGACAACACCUGCAGCAAGCAGAGAUGUGAGCUCUGAUCCAGCAUUGCUGCGUCAUGUUAAGUUUCAGAUGCUGCUGUAAUGUAGAAGAAGAGAGGCAGAGCUCGGGAGACCUGACAGGAGUGAUACCCCUUUAUCCUAUGACCACAUCUACUGUGGGACCUCCUCAACUGCCAUCUUCUUGAUUUGAAGCCUUUUCUUCAAGACAGAGACCCAAAGAAGUGCCACACGCACAGCACCUGGAGCAGCCAAAGAGUUAAAUCACUUCCCAUCGCCGUUUACAUGGGAUACAGAAACAACUUUUCCUGCUGCAUCUGUAGCUGCCAGCAGAACUCAGUGACAGCUUUAUAAAUCACACCUGAAGCAAAUAAAAAUGCCAUGUCCAGAAUGAGCCCUUAUCUCUUCUUGUUUGUGUUUGGCUAUUUUGUUUCUAAAGGUCACGGGUGGAAGCAGAAUGAGCCGUCACUGGGUGAUGUAUGUAGUCUUUGGCAUGGAGUGACUGAUUUUCUGUUAGGGCACAGUAAUACAAAUGUGAAUGGAAGAAGUGGGGGAGAGAAGAGGUGAGAAAAGCUAUGAAGCAAGCAGUGAAAGAAAAAAAAGGAGGGAAAAGAAAAAAAAGGAAAAAAAGAAAUGUAAUUGCAAUAGCCUCCAAAGUACAUGGAACACAAAGCAGCUGUUAAGGAAAAAUGGGAAGAACAGAUGAAAAACAAGAAGUUCAGCCAGUUCUAUGUUUUGGUAAAUGAUGCAGAACCACACUAUUCUGUGUCCAGGAGGGAAAGGUACCCUUUUGUCUCAUGCUUCUUAUAUCCCAUCUUAACCUGCUCUGGAAGCUCCCCACAUAUGUUAUCAGGGGUCAUCAUAAGAAAAAGUACAGUUUUACUCACGUAAUCACUAAUAGUUUUAUAUGGAGAGGAGGUGGGGAAUGGGAGAGGGUACUGUUACAGAGUCAUUACACUUGCUUAGCAGGAAGUAAAACAGUUCAGAUCUGAGAUUUUCCCUCAAUGGUCUACACAAUGUCUCUAAAAUCUUCUGUUUGGGCUGGGUCAUCGCUUUCAGAAGGGCUUUGAAUUCUAGGAUUUAGAUGGUGCAAAGCUCACUGCUCUGUGGGGAAAUUAUUUCAGAGAUUAAU
ensembl:lncRNA